GACGAACGCUGGCGGCGUGCCUAAUACAUGCAAGUAGAACGCUGAAGAGAGGAGCUUGCUCUUCUUGGAUGAGUUGCGAACGGGUGAGUAACGCGUAGGUAACCUGCCUUGUAGCGGGGGAUAACUAUUGGAAACGAUAGCUAAUACCGCAUAACAAUGGAUGACACAUGUCAUUUAUUUGAAAGGGGCAAUUGCUCCACUACAAGAUGGACCUGCGUUGUAUUAGCUAGUAGGUGAGGUAACGGCUCACCUAGGCGACGAUACAUAGCCGACCUGAGAGGGUGAUCGGCCACACUGGGACUGAGACACGGCCCAGACUCCUACGGGAGGCAGCAGUAGGGAAUCUUCGGCAAUGGGGGCAACCCUGACCGAGCAACGCCGCGUGAGUGAAGAAGGUUUUCGGAUCGUAAAGCUCUGUUGUAAGUCAAGAACGAGUGUGAGAGUGGAAAGUUCACACUGUGACGGUAGCUUACCAGAAAGGGACGGCUAACUACGUGCCAGCAGCCGCGGUAAUACGUAGGUCCCGAGCGUUGUCCGGAUUUAUUGGGCGUAAAGCGAGCGCAGGCGGUUUGAUAAGUCUGAAGUUAAAGGCUGUGGCUCAACCAUAGUUCGCUUUGGAAACUGUCAAACUUGAGUGCAGAAGGGGAGAGUGGAAUUCCAUGUGUAGCGGUGAAAUGCGUAGAUAUAUGGAGGAACACCGGUGGCGAAAGCGGCUCUCUGGUCUGUAACUGACGCUGAGGCUCGAAAGCGUGNGGAGCGAGCAGG
rnacentral:rRNA from 1 species